UGUGCUGGUUAAAUGUUAGGACC
rnacentral:piRNA from 1 species